UACGGGAGGCAGCAGUGGGGAAUAUUGGACAAUGGGCGAAAGCCUGAUCCAGCCAUGCCGCGUGUGUGAAGAAGGCCUUUUGGUUGUAAAGCACUUUAAGCAGGGAGGAGAGGCUAAUGGUUAAUACCCAUUAGAUUAGACGUUACCUGCAGAAUAAGCACCGGCUAACUCUGUGCCAGCAGCCGCGGUAAUACAGAGGGUGCGAGCGUUAAUCGGAAUUACUGGGCGUAAAGCGAGUGUAGGUGGCUCAUUAAGUCACAUGUGAAAUCCCCGGGCUUAACCUGGGAACUGCAUGUGAUACUGGUGGUGCUAGAAUAUGUGAGAGGGAAGUAGAAUUCCAGGUGUAGCGGUGAAAUGCGUAGAGAUCUGGAGGAAUACCGAUGGCGAAGGCAGCUUCCUGGCAUAAUAUUGACACUGAGAUUCGAAAGCGUGGGUAGCAAACAGGAUUAGAUACCCUGGUAGUCCACGCCGUAAAC
rnacentral:rRNA from 1 species